rnacentral:lncRNA from 1 species
AGUGCAGAGCUGGAGGAAAGAGCUGAAAGGCAAGAGUCCAAACUUUCCCGCGGCGACCUAACUGCACCUCCAGUGUCUUCCCCCAGAGGGCACAGAAGCAGCAAGAAGGGCGGGAACACUUGACUGGGGUCCAUGCAGCUCUAGGCUGAGUCUUGCAGGGCUGAGCCCCCCAGGCCUGCUCUCCUGUGUCCUGGCCGCUCCGUCAGUGCCUGCCAGUGGGGUCCAGAGGGACCGUUUUUUUAACGCCUCUUUUGCAGGUAAUGAGAAACAUCCCCACUCUUAAUGUCUUGCCUCCUCCGGCCUAAGUCGCCCAGCACACAGCCCAACUUCCCUGGCAAACUUGCUUUUCAAACUCUCUUCUCUCAGUCACGGGCUCAGGUUCUGUAGUGCUGCCAUGCUUUACUCCUCUGUCCCUCCCCUUAUCUAGUCUCCCGCAUUGACUUCAUAACCAAGUUCUGGGUCCCUGCCUCUGGAGUGCCUGAUGAGACAAAACGGCUCCUCGUCCUGCAUCCCCGCUGCUACUUCCAGAAUUCAGGCCUCGUGGUCUGGAGCCUGCACUGUUCCAUGAGCCUCCUGAGCAACCUGGAGUCCUCUGUCUUUCUUCCCUCAGUGAGAUGCGCCUACUUCUCCCUGGAGAAGCUUGAGGAAGCAGAAAUGCUGGAGAUGAGACGGAGUUUUGCUCUUGUUGCCCAGGCUGGUGCAAUCUCGGCUCACCACUACCUCUGCCUUCUGGGCUCAAGCGAUUCUCCUUCCUCAGCCUCCUGAGUGCUGGGAUUACAGGUAUGCGCCACCAUGCCUGGCUAAGUUUGUAUUUUUAGUAGAGAUGGGGUUUCUCCUUGUUGGUUGGACUGGUCUCGAACUUCGACCUCAGGUGAUCCACCCGCCUCGGCCUCCCAAAGUGCUGGGGUUACAGGCGUAAGCCACCGUGCCUGGCUUGCCCAUUUUUCUAUUGAGUCAUUUGCCUUGUUGGUAUGGAGUUGUAGGAGCUCUUUCUGAAUUCUGCCUCUAACCCCAUGUUGGCUUUUUGUAUUUCAGAGACCUCGUCCGCACAGGGGCUUGUUCUUCUGUGUCUUUGCAGGGCUGUUUUGGACUCAGUAUUCACCUAAGCACUCCAAAUUACCCAGCACACCCUGCCUGCAUGGCGCUGCGCUGCACCUUCACUCUGGUCACGGGUCUGGCAGUCAGCUCACCAAUUCCUCCUGCUUCCCUGGGACUUGCCGGCUUUUAGCACUGCAAUUCACUCAGCAAACUGGGACUGUUGGUCACCCUACCUGGCAGCCAGUGAUAAGGCAUCCGCCCUGCCUGGAUCUCCUCACCUGCCAGGAACUUCCUCUCCACAAGCCGGCCAUCCCAGCAAAAGUUCUAACACCAAAGGUCUGGCAACUAGCCUGCCAUCUUGUGCCUGGAGCCGCCUGCGUGCCACCUACUCCCGAAGAUGGGAACCUUGUUGCCAGUUGGGCAGAUGCGGGGCAAUCCUGUACCAAGACCCCAUUUUACCACCUGCUUUCUCAGACCACUCUGGAACCCACUGUCUCAGAUUGUGUCCUCCAGGAAGCAGACCAUGAGAGGGAGUUGGCAGGGCCAAAGAUUUACUGGGGCUAACUAACACUCAGGAAAGGGAUAGGAAGGAAACAGGGCUGGAGAGCAGGUUGAGCCCGACCUGACAGUCUCGAGCAGCCCAACAGGGAGGUGUGGAGCAAGGGUUGCCCACUAGAGGGGCCUGCAUUGGGUACGGGUGAUGGGGUCCACAUGGUACCUGGCAUAUAGCAGGCUGUGCAAUCCAUAUUAACUGACUGGAUAAAUUAAUGCCCAGAAAAGGUGCCCUGGAGAAUGGGUGUGUGCUGAACACAAUAGGGAAGGGCCCAGCAUCUGCCUUGGCAUAGGCAGAACUGUGCUGUGCCCUGCAACAGGCCACCUGAGAGCUGCUUUGAUCUUGUGUGUACAUUAGAUGACUGCCAGGGGCAUGAAGGGGAUGUGCUUCCAGGGCAUUUGCUGGCAGGGCGUCUCGUGAUCUCUUGGUAUUGGUGUGAGCACAGCCUGGCAGGAGAGGGCAGAUCUCCAUGCAAAGUAUGUCAGAAAGCAGAUGGAAGCCAGGCCCCCUCCUGAAAGAGGCUCCUUGAAGGCUCCUGGGACCACAUUAUCAUUCUCUUCACUCGAGAGAUGAGGACACUGAAAUUCAGAGAGGGGAAGUGAUUUGCCUCAGCUUGUACUACACAGUCUCACUCUGUCACCCAGGCUGGAGUGCAGUGAUGCAAUCUUGGCUCACUGCAACCUCUGUCUCCCAGGUUCAAGCGAUUCUCAUGCCUCAGCCUCCCAAGUAGCUGGAAUCACAGGCAUGCACUAGCAUGCCCAGCUAAUUUUUGUAUUUUUAGUGGAGACAGGGUUUCUCCGUGUUGGCCAGGCUGGUCUUGAUCUCCUGACCUCAAGCAAUCUGCCCGCCUUGGCCUCCCAGAGUGCUGGGAUUACAGACGUGAGCCACCACGCCCAGCUCCUGAGAAUAUACUUUUAAUGAUUUCAGUUCUUUUAAAUUUGUUGAGUUUUUUUAUGGCCCACAGCAUGGUUGAUCUCUAUGAACAUUCCAUGUGCUGCUGAAAAACGUGCAUUGGAUGUAGUUUUAAAAAUACGUAUCAGUUAAGUCAAGGUGAAUAGUAGUGCUGUUUAAGUAAUUUAUGUCAUCACUAAUUUUCUGCCUACAUUUUCCUGCAGUUACUAAGAGAGAAGUGUUAAAGUUUCCCAUUAUAAUUGUGUAUUUGUCAUUUUAUUUUUUCAGUAGUGUCACAGUUUGUCUAAUAUAUUUUAAGCUCUGUUAAGUACAUGCACAUUUAUACUUUUUAUAUCUAAUUGGAGAAUUGACCUCUUUAUUAUUGUGUAAUAUCUCAAUUUCUGACAACAUUCUUUGUUCUGAAGUUUACUUUGUCUGAUAUUACUAUAGCUACUUCUGCACAAUAUUUUACUUCUAGUAAUAUUUUAGAUCAGAUAAUUUAUUUCUUUUUAGCACUCUUGAUUUGUUUGUGAAGAUUUAUGUUUCCAUCUAAUAUAUUCCUUCGGUAUAAAAAAACCUCUUAAAGAUUUCUUGUAGUGUAGGAAUACUGGCUAGGAUUUCCAUCAUUAUUUUUGUUUUCCUGAGAAAGUCCUUAUUUCUCCCUCAUUUUAAAAAUCAGCCUUAUGGUGAUAAAAUUUACAUACCAUAAAUUCACCCUUUUAAGUGUACAAUUCAGUAACUUUUAGUGAAUUUACAGUUAUGUAACCACUAACAUAAUCUACUCUUAAAACAUUGCCAUCACCUCUGAAGAUCCUUCAUGCCAGUUUGUAGUCAGUCACCUUCCUAUCCCCAACCCUGGCAACCACUAAUUUACUUUUUGUUAUUGUAGAUUUCCUGUCUUUGGAAUUUCCUAUAAAUAGAAUCACACAAUAUCUAGUCUUUUGUAUCUGGCUUCUUUCACUUAGCAUAAUGUUUUUGAGGCUCGUCAAUGUUGUAGCAUAUAUCAGUAUUUUGUUCCUUUGUUUUGCUGGCUAGUAUUUCAUUGUAUGGAUGUAUCAUAUUUUGUUUAUCUGUUUAAUAGUUGAUAAACAUUUGGAUUGUUUUCACUUUUUGGCUAUUGCGAAUAAUUCAGUCAUGAGCAUACUUACAAGUCUUUGUGUGAACAUAGGUUUUCAUUUUAUUUAUUGCCUAGGUGUUGAAUUGCUGGUUCACAUGGUAAAUUUAUAUUUAGCAUUUGAAAGAAUUAAUGGCCAAACUGUUUUCCAGAGUGGCUCCAUCAGUUAAUAUUCACACCAGCAAUGUCAUCUUCUUUAUUUUUUAAUUUAUUAUUAUUUCAAUUGUUUUUUGGGGAACAGGUGGUAUUUGGUUACAUGGAAAAGUUCUUUCGUGGUGAUUUCUGAGAUUUUGGUGCACCCAUCAUACAAGCAGUAUACACUGUACCCAAUGUGUAGUCUUUUAUCCCUCACACCCCUCCCACCCUUACCCAUGAGUCCUGAGUCCAUUAUAUCAUUCUUAUGCCUUUAUGUCCUCAUAACUUAGCUCCCACUUAUAAGUGAGAACAUAUAAUGUUUGGCUUUUCAUUCCUGAGUUACUCACUUAGAAUAAUGGUCUCCAACUCCAUGGAGGUUGGUGCAAAUGCCAUUAUUUCAUUCCUUUUUAUGGCCAAAUCGUAUUCCAUGGUGUAUGUGGGAGAUAUAUAUAUAUAUAGAUAUAGAUAUAUAUCUCACAUUUUCUUUAUUCACUCAUUAGUUGAUGGGCAUUUAGGCUGGUUCUAUAUUUUUGCAAUUGCAAAUUGUGCUGCUAUGAACAUGCAUGUACAAGUGUCUUUUUCAUAUAAUGACUUCUUUACCUCUGGGUAGAUACCCAGUAGUGAUUGCUGGAUCAAACGGUAGAUCUACUUUUAGUGCUUUAAGGAGUCUCCAUACUGUUUUCUGUAGUGGUUAUAGUAGUUUACAUUCCCACCAGCACUGUAAAAGUGUUCCCUUUUCACCACAUCCACACCAACAUCUAUUAUUUUUUAAUUUUUAAAUUAUGGCCAUUCUUGCAGGAAUUGUGUGUGGUUUUGCCUGGCUUAUGAUCUGGGAAACUUGCAUCCUCCUGUUAGUAUGUCUAGUUAGCUCUGAGAAGUGGCUUGGUUUAAUCUAGACCUCCUUUUCUAAACACGUAGAAAUUCCUAGGGAAAAUGAAAUGUUGUUCUAUCACUCCAAGGUUUCUUUGGGGUCUUUUAAGGGAUAGGUUCCUCUUCUGAAAGCUCAAAGUCACCCGUGAUUCUGGGUAAGAGCAGGAGUAGGUUAACCUAAGCAGUUGCUCAAUAGGUUCAUGCCUGUAAUCCCAGCACUUUGGGAGGCCAAGGCAGGCAGAUCACUUGAGGUCAGGGGUUCGAGACCAGCCUGGCCAACAUGAUGAAACCCCCAUCUCUACUAAAAAUAUAAAAGUUAGCCGGGCGUGGUGGCAGGUGCCUGUAAUCCCAGCUACUCGGGAGGCUGAGGCAGGAGAAUCGCUUGAACUCGGGAGGUGGAGGUUAUA